GACUGCCCAGUGCAUGGAUCUCAGCAGCACGGCUUGACUUUCGGGCGGCAGGCAAGGAUGCUAAUCCACAAGGUUCCUGAGUCCAACAUCCCUCCCUCCAAUGUGGGGCUCGAAUCCGCUAUUGCAACCAAACCCGGGUUCUGCCCGCAGGGUGGCGCAAUGACAAGAGCCACCAGGUGACCCUGGUAACUCCCGCACCUAGGGUGUCGCUAUCCACCCCUCACUGCUGCUUCGUGCUCCAUCCCUCAGACCUACAGGAGCAGUUUUUCUGCAGCACCACAUCUGUAGCCCUGCAUGCCGCUGGCUCCAGUGUUGUGUGUGUGGUCAUGCUCCAUCCAGCCCAGCAGCAACUUUGGUGUUUGACACCCCUCGGGAGGCACCGCUUUGGAAGAGACUGGUAACAGCAGGGUGGGACCGGCUACUUAGCUGUUCUCAGUCUGAAAGGAUUCUGGAAAGGGGCUCUAUUUAACCCAAGCACUGGAGUCCAACACAGCCUCUGCCGUGUGACAGGUGUGUGCGGAGCCCAAGAUGUGUUGGGAACAGCUAUCGUUUCUACUGCUUUGUCCCAUGCCUCUGGAGCUCCUGGGUUCCUGAACUUCAAGCUGGGCCCCAUCCUUCACCCUAUCAGGGCCCUGGGUGGAGCUGACUUCCAACAGUAUACAGUGGGUCUUGGUACUUCCUCCUUGGCAUUCGACAGUUGGUGUUUUUGAAGUCAGAGCCAUCCUCAGUAGGCUCCUAGGGGAUCGUAAGCGGCUUUCUCUGGGUGGAAACCUACUCCAUGCAGCCUUCAGCAAAGGUACCAGCAUCUGUCACUGGGAUGGGGAAGUCCGGUGAUCGUGUCAGCAUGGGCUACGGUGGACGGGGAAAGGCUCGUUCUGACACUAGACACCUGGGUCUCUAGCCCUAUGCCUGGAUUUGUCUGGGGAACUCUGCACCACACUGAUCCUGGCUUUCCCCAUUACCUGCUCCAUGCCAGGAUCCUACGGCUGUUGAUCCCCUCGGAAGUGAGACAUAAUGUCCCGGAGCAGAUGCUGAUGGGGACUCACUGUUGGGCCACCUGAUUUCUGUGUUCAUCUUCCCAGGCUCCACCUUUCAGAUCCCAUCCCUGGUGUCUGCAGUUACAACUUUACUAACCAGAACUUUGUUUCCAGCUUACGCUGAAAAGCAAAGGGUGACUUAGAAUAAAAAUGUAACAAAUAGCCCCAUAGCCCAAACCUUUUCUGCCAUGAUUUACUGUACCAGAUACCUAUAAGUGUCCAGGGCAAAUUAAACACAUCAAUAAAUGGC
rnacentral:lncRNA from 1 species